rnacentral:rRNA from 1 species
CGCAAAGGGCCGCGCGCCUAAACCAUGCAAAGUCGAGCGAGGAAGUUUCUUCGGAAACAACCUAGCGGCGGACGGGUGAGUAACACGUGGGCAACCUGCCUUGAAGUGGGGGAUAGCCCUCCGAAAGGAGGAUUAAUACCGCAUAACAUCAGUACAUCGCAUGAUGAAUUGAUUAAAGGAGUAAUCCGCUUCAAGAUGGGCCCGCGGCGCAUUAGCUAGUUGGUGAGGUAACGGCUCACCAAGGCGACGAUGCGUAGCCGACCUGAGAGGGUGAUCGGCCACAUUGGGACUGAGACACGGCCCAGACUCCUACGGGAGGCAGCAGUGGGGAAUAUUGCACAAUGGGGGAAACCCUGAUGCAGCAACGCCGCGUGAGUGAUGAAGGCCUUCGGGUUGUAAAGCUCUGUCUUCAGGGACGAUAAUGACGGUACCUGAGGAGGAAGCCACGGCUAACUACGUGCCAGCAGCCGCGGUAAUACGUAGGUGGCAAGCGUUGUCCGGAUUUACUGGGCGUAAAGGGAGUGUAGGCGGAUACUUAAGUCAGAUGUGAAAUACCCGGGCUCAACUUGGGUGCUGCAUUUGAAACUGGGUAUCUAGAGUGCAGGAGAGGAAAGUGGAAUUCCUAGUGUAGCGGUGAAAUGCGUAGAGAUUAGGAAGAACACCAGUGGCGAAGGCGACUUUCUGGACUGUAACUGACGCUGAGGCUCGAAAGCGUGGGGAGCAAACAGGAUUAGUAUUGGGAAUUCCUGCAGCCCGGGGGAUCCACUAGUUCUAGAGCGGCCGCCACCGCGGUGGAGCUCCAGCUUUUGUUCCCUUUAGU